AAUCUGUUAAUGAAACCCCUUGUGAUGGGUUACAGCAGCAGCUGUUGCAACACCCCUCCCCCUUGUCCUACACAGGGAGGUUUCUGGUUUGAGGUUGCCCUGUGGUGGCCUCAAACUUUCUGGGAGAAUUCUAGAUUAGCUCUCAGCUUGUUGUGUGUGGUUUUGGAUGUAUAUUAUAAGCGGCUGUUGGCAUCUAUGAUGAACAGGCUACACAACAAAUUCAAGACCAGAAGACAAAAAGGCAGUGGAUGUAGUCAUUCUCUGGAAAAAUUAAGACACCGAUGUCUUUGAGGUGUUGUGAAAUGAGCAGAACAUGAAUUUUAUUUGAAAUAAGCGGAGAGGAGAGAUACAAUCUGCUGGGUAGAGCGAUGGUCUGGAGUUGAGAAAACAAGGUGAAUUCAGUGUUUCUUUACUCAUUGCAGCAGAACAAUUUUUGCUUCUUGUAUAGCUAUUUAUUUGCUUUAUUUGUAUUUAUCUGCUUCUUGUGGCGAUAUUUACUUGAAUUGACUAGUUGGUCUUGGUUAGGUACUCAUCCAAACGGGCUAAACCACUACCUGAUUUUCACCACUGGGUUUGUGGGAGUUGGCAACAAAUGGACUCUUAGACACAGGCUUUACCAUGUGUCUAGCUCAGCAGCACUGGAGUAGGCUGUUGUAGCUGUAAGAUGGCCAAAGAAGGGGAAGAAUUUGGAAGCCCCAAGGUAAAAUUGCCUGGACCAUCUCCUUAAGGAACCCUCUCUUCUCUUGGUUGUGUAGCAAAUUCUAAAUACUACUGGGUUUGGUAAGAGCUUUGUUUCAGCUACUUCCUUGUAUGAAUCUGACCACUCACAGAAUACAUCUUGCCUUGUAAGAAUAUAGUUUCAUUAAGUGCCCACUCCUGUCCUGUGAGAAUUCUUCUGGUUUAGUAUUUUUAAUGUCUUGGGUAUUCCAUAAAUGUCAGAUAACAUAGAAAACUACCGAGGUUUGUUCUUUUCUUAAGUUCUGAGGGACAAAGUUUUGUCUUAAAGCCAUAGUCAAUCUCUAAUAAAGAUCACUGUUGUGUUUGUGGUAUUAUGCCA
rnacentral:lncRNA from 1 species